rnacentral:rRNA from 1 species
GACGAACGCUGGCGGCGUGCUUAACACAUGCAAGUCGAACGGAAAGGCCCUGCUGUUGUGGGGUGCUCGAGUGGCGAACGGAUGAGUAACACGUGAGUAACCUGCCCUUGACUUUGGGAUAACUUCAGGAGACUGGGGCUAAUACCGGCUAGGAGCGCCUGCUGCAUGGUGGGGGUUGGAAAGUUUCGGCGGGUGGGGAUGGACUCGCGGCUUAUCAGCUUGUUGGUGGGGUAGUGGCUUACCAAGGCUUUGACGGGUAGCCGGCCUGAGAGGGUGACCGGCCACAUUGGUACUGAGAUACGGCCCAGACUCCUACGGGAGGCAGCGGUGGGGAAUAUUGCACAAUGGGCGGAAGCCUGAUGCAGCAACGCCGCGUGCGGGAUGACGGCCUUCGGGUUGUAAACCGCGUUCGCCUGCGACGAAGCGUGAGUGACGGUAAUGGGUAAAGAAGCACCGGCUAACUACGUG